rnacentral:rRNA from 1 species
AACGAACGCUGGCGGCAGGCCUAACACAUGCAAGUCGAACGCACCGCAAGGUGAGUGGCGCACGGGUGAGUAACACGUGGGAAUGUACCCUUUGGUUCGGAAUAACGUUUGGAAACGAACGCUAAUACCGGAUGAGCCCUACGGGGGAAAGAUUUAUCGCCAAAGGAGCAGCCCGCGUCUGAUUAGCUAGUUGGUGGGGUAAAGGCCUACCAAGGCGACGAUCAGCAGCUGGUCUGAGAGGAUGAUCAGCCACACUGGGACUGAGACACGGCCCAGACUCCUACGGGAGGCAGCAGUGGGGAAUAUUGGACAAUGGGCGGAAGCCUGAUCCAGCCAUGCCGCGUGAGUGAUGAAGGCCUUCGGGUCGUAAAGCUCUUUCGCACGCGACGAUGAUGACGGUAGCGUGAGAAGAAGCCCCGGCUAACUUCGUGCCAGCCGCCGCAGUAACAC